AACACAAACAUAGCAAAUGUUGCAACCAGAAAGUAAGACUUUCCUUCAGACACUGAUCUGCUUCCUGAUGCAAUAUUGGCAUUGACAGAGCUUCCCUAACCGUAUGGGUUGAGUAAACAUAGUUCUCACACUGGAGGGAAACUUCACAUACACAGUCUUUUUCAGAAGAAAACAAAGGAAAACAACAGAUCUUAGUGCAGGAAUCAGCAGUGGGAUUCUCAGUGAUGCCGUGGGUUGUAUUGAUUUUCAUGAUGCAAGGUGCACUCAGCAGCGAGUGGUCUGUCUGGAUGCCCCGAAGCAUCCCAGCUGUGCGUGGCUCCUGUGUUCUGAUCCCUUGUCGGUUUGAGAUCCCUGACCAGUACAAGGCAUAUCUCAACUCCAGCCCUAGUGCCAUCUGGAGGAGAGGAUGGAUGGGUGGGCCAUCCAUCUUCAAUUCCGCAGAUAAUAAGACCUUUACCCAGGGGUCCUUGGAAGGGGACCUGCUGCAGAAGAACUGCACCACCAGGCUUCAGGAAUUCACGGGUGGAAAUGAUACCUUUUUCUUCAGACUGCAAUGUCCAAAUCCUCUCCAGUACAAUUUUAACCCUGGGGUUCAGAUCAUUCAAACAGGUGCAGCACAAAGACACUGCAGUACAUUAUUGCAGAUGAACCUGGUCCUGGGCUCUCAUCUCUGAAACACACAGCCAGUGUAUCCGGUCUGAAAUGCAUGGAUCCAUCAACCGUUCCACAGACACACAAACUGUAUUAAAUCGUACUUUAAAGUUCCCCAUCAGCCCCCACCCUUUUCCCUCAGACACACCUCCCGGUCCAGAGCUGUUCCCUGAGAUGGUGUUGGUGCCGGAGGGGAAGGAAGUCCUGCUUACCUGCUCCGCUCCAGCCCCCUGCCCCUCUCUGCCCCCCUCCCUGAGCUGGAGCAUCGGGGGGCCGGGAGCAACACAGCAUGAACACCACUGCAGACGGUCUGCUGACCCUGACCUCCACUCUGACCUUCACAGCCUCACCCAGCCACCAUGGGUCAGGGGUCAGUUGCUCUGUGCAGUACCCCCUGACAACAGGGGGCACCACCCAGAAGGUGCAGAGCAGCACGACCAUUUCAGUGUUGGAGAUGAAAAAUGAAGACAUCCGGUCUUGCUCCACGCUGGGACUGUACAUUCUGUGUGGGGUGAUGAUGUCACUCUGCCUUCUCAGCCUCCCAUUGGUUGUGUGUACUUUUCAAAGCCUGUCCAGAAGACUAACACAGAUAGAGCUUUUGGUGACAAACACAAAAUCCAUCUACACUUCCCUGAAAAUGUCCAGCAUUUCAUCUGACUAUGACCAACUUCAGGCCCCUAGAAGUCCCGCCUCCCUGGAAUCUCCCUAUGAGAACCGUGUGGUACAGGAGACAAGGAUAGGAAGACCUGCUCCAUGACAACUCCACAGGAUGCACGAUCUGCUUAGUCAUCAGCCACAAGGCUUCCUCCACCUCUGUACCUGUCAGCUUGAAGAUAAAAGAUUUAAUGUGCUCAUUCUAAAUGUAUGCUUGGGUUUUAGGUCAUCUGAAAGAGUUUCCACAUCUCUCAAACUCCCUUGGCACUAAGUGUAUUCCUCUCAAAUAACAGGGAAAGGAGUGGGUAAGAAGAAAUACUGAAAUAAUCAUGACUAGUCCUGGAUCAUGUCUUUGAUGGCCUAUACCUCUUGGCUCCGCCUCUGUACCAAUGGGAGUGAUGUGAGGCAGGUGCCUUCUUCUUACACAGCACCCUAGUUUUACAUAAUUCCCUUUCCAUGAACAGUCUAAAAUUUGAUUGUUCGGAAUUGCUCAAUAAUCAAAGAUGGAUUAACAUAUCACACAUUUUCUCUCUGUGUAUCCACAGUAUUUCAAAGUAAUUCAUUAGCGGUUUAGCUUGAAAUGUAUAAAUGUAUGUUGCAUGAAUAAAAUGGACAAAAUUCUGCCUCAUAGAUGUCAAACACGUGCACCACCCAAACUUCCGUUAGAUGACACAGACAGGUCACUGUGGAGGAAAGCCAAACCAUCUGACCAGUGGAAAGAAAAACCAGAUAAUGUGAAGAGGGGGUUUUAGAAGGAUAGGAGGAGGGCUGGAUGAGGGGGCGUUGGAGCUUGAAUGAAGCUGGUGACUCAGGUGAUGUGUCAUGAAUUUUUUUAUAAAAGGGCCCUUCACUUUACAUUUGUGUACACAUUCUGAGAAAGUGAGUGAGUGAUUAGGCUGUUUUUGAGCCAGGACAGGACAAUGACAUUUACAUACAGUAAGUAUGUUUUGGGGUCCAGAAAGCUUCACUAUAUUGAUAAUAACUAGUGCUGUGUGUAUGUGUAUGGGAUGUGUUCAGGAAACAAUUGUAAACUCAGGAAUUGAAUGAAUGAUAACAUGGUGAUUAUUGGAAUGCUUAGGACAAUGUUUACUGUUCUUUAGUGCACACACAAACCUCUAGAGACACCGUUAUAGAUCAUGCCUUUGUUUGCUCCAUCAUAAAUUGAAAUGCUACUAUGUAGAACAUCAGUUUAAGAAAGAUGUAUUAUGUAGAUAUGAUAUAUGCAUAGCCAACUGCACCUUUCAAAAUGCUAAUUGCUAAAUUCUUAUAGACACUUAUUGAACACUCAAGGAUUAAAAACGAACGAAACACAUUCA